rnacentral:rRNA from 1 species
GAUGAACGCUGGCGGCGUGCCUAAUACAUGCAAGUCGAGCGAACGGACGAGAAGCUUGCUUCUCUGAUGUUAGCGGCGGACGGGUGAGUAACACGUGGAUAACCUACCUAUAAGACUGGGAUAACUUCGGGAAACCGGAGCUAAUACCGGAUGAUAUUUUGAACCGCAUGGUUCAAAAGUGAAAGACGGUCUUGCUGUCACUUAUAGAUGGAUCCGCGCUGCAUUAGCUAGUUGGUAAGGUAACGGCUUACCAAGGCAACGAUGCAUAGCCGACCUGAGAGGGGGAUCGGCCACACUGGAACUGAGACACGGUCCAGACUCCUACGGGAGGCAGCAGUAGGGAAUCUUCCGCAAUGGGCGAAAGCCUGACGAAGCAACGCCGCGUGAGUGAUGAAGGUCUUCGGAUCGUAAAACUCUGUUAUUAGGGAAGAACAUAUGUGUAAGUAACUGUGCACAUCUUGACGGUACCUAAUCAGAAAGCCACGGCUAACUACGUG